UACGUAGGGGGCGAGCGUUAUCCGGAAUUAUUGGGCGUAAAGAGUACGUAGGCGGGAGCUUAAGCACAGGGUUUAAGGCAAUGGCUUAACCACUGUAUGCCUUGUGAACUGAGCCUCUUGAGUGCAGGAGGGGAAAGCGGAAUUCCUAGUGUAGCGGUGAAAUGCGUAGAUAUUAGGAGGAACACCAGUUGCGAAGGCGGCUCUCUGGACUGUAACUGACACUGAGGCACGAAAGCGUGGGGAGCAAACAGGAUUAGAUACCCCGGUAGUCCCUGA
rnacentral:rRNA from 1 species